rnacentral:rRNA from 1 species
AGCAGCCGCGGUAAUUCCAGCUCCAAUAGCGUAUAUUAAAGUUGUUGCAGUUAAAAAGCUCGUAGUUGAAUUUCGGGAUUAGUAAGUUGGUCGUGCCUCUGGUAUGUACUGGCUUUACUGGUUCCUCCUUCUUGAAGAACUGUAAUGUCAUUAAUUUGGUGUUGCAGGGAAACAGGACUGUUACUUUGAAAAAAUUAGAGUGUUUAAAGCAGGCUAACGCUUGAAUACAUUAGCAUGGAAUAAUGAAAUAGGACGUUUGAUCCUAUUUUGUUGGUUUCUAGGAUUGACGUAAUGAUUAAUAGGGAUAGUUGGGGGCAUUAGUAUUCAAUUGUCAGAGGUGAAAUUCUUGGAUUUAUUGAAGACUAACUACUGCGAAAGCAUUUGCCAAGGAUGUUUUCAUUAAUCAAGAACGAAAGUUAGGGGAUCGAAGACGAUCAGAUACCGUCGUAGUCUUAACCAUAAACUAUGCCGACUAGGGAUCGGAUGAUGUUAAUUUUUUAAUGACUCA